GCCAGCAUGGUGUAGUAGUUUGAGUGUUGGACUAUGACUUUGGAGACCAGGGUUCAAUUCCCUGUUAGGCCA
rnacentral:tRNA from 1 species